rnacentral:lncRNA from 1 species
CUCCAGAAGGGUUUUUAAAGUGAGCUAGCGGCUCUCCCUGGAUGCUGAGCUUUUUUGCUUUUUAUCUUUUUGCUCAUCUGUGUUGCUCCUUUCUCCCAGACCAUUUCCCGCAUCUCAUUGUCCUCUACUGGAGAGGAUGGUUUUUCUUUUUAUCCAUCAAAUAAUGAAACCUGGUGGGUGUUCUUACUUUUUUCAUGUUGUGUGGUGAUUCAUUCCGGCUGAACGCCUUUCCAUUUUUGACUUUUCAUUGUUUGCUGCUCCGAGAACCUCGAGCUUUAAGAUCUUAGUGUGGAUGGUAAUGCAUUCAGUGUGCUUUCACAAAUUGGGUUUAAGACUUUAAUCCACUUCAGCACAUCCUCCCCUCACUCCAUGACCAGCUAGCAUUUGGGGUGAAUCCUUCCCUCACUCCAUGACCAGCUAGCCUUUGGGGUGAAUCCUUCCCUCACUCCAUGACCAGCUAGCCUUUGGGGUGAAUCCUUCCCUCACUCCAUGACCAGCUAGCCUUUGGGGUGAAUCCUUCCCUCACUCCAUGACCAGCUAGCCUUUGGGGUGAAUCCUUCCCUCACUCCAUGACCAGCUAGCCUUUGGG